GGGGGAAGGGUGGACAAUGAAGAUUUUUUUAAACGUUGUCAGUGCAACACCGCCCUAUAUAGGCAAUCAUCUCAAGCGCCUAACUCAAACAUAGAACCUGCAAAACGAAAUCUUCAUUGUUGGUCCUAGGAUUCUCAUAUUCGAGAUUUAAUUAUGGUGAACCUCCCAGUGCGGGUGAUCACGACCGCCAUCCCUAGUGUCGCCCUAAUUUACGGCUAGAACCUACCAAACAAAAUCUCCAUUUCAUGUUCUAGUUCUGAGGCCUUGUUUAGUUUGAGAUUUUUUUAAAGAUUUGGCUACUGUAGCAUUUUCGUUUUAUUUAGCGAUUAAUGUCCAAUCAUAGACUAAUUAGACUUAAAAGAUUCAUUUCGCAAAUUACAUACAAACUAUAUAAUUAGUUUUUGUUUUCGUCUAUAUUUAAUGCUUCAUGCAUAUGUCUAAAGAUUCGAGUGAAAAGUUUUUAACGAGGAACUAAAAUAGUGGCCGAAGAUAAUUCUAGGGAACCUGUAGACGGCGGCUGUGAGGCGAGAGUGUCCAAGAAAAAAAUCACUGCCCCAUGACAAGGAUGUAGGGGUUGACCUCGUAUCUUUACACGUGGAUGACUCAGUUUUUCCAAGCGCAAUACUUGGUAGUUAGGUUAUGGAACUAUUGAAGGAGACAUUUUUUCAUUAGGCUAAAAAAUUGAAAUUGAUAGUGGCUGGACCAAAUUAUUGGAGAUGCUCUAUCUCUAUAUCUACGCGUGGAGAUGUAGGUGGUUCUAGAACACUCAGGUUAUUUCUCUCCUUGCCUUUCAUUCGUAGCAGUGUUGAUGGUAAAUCCAGCAAGGUACUCAUGCCCUCCUUUGACGUCUGAAUUCCGUAGUUACAAAUUUUGAAUAUAGAUAUUUUGUAGUAAGAGUUUUGAAGAAAGAUCUCACACCUCAAACGAAUCAUAAAUAUAGUCAUUUUUGUGUACUGUUGCUGCAGCUAAACAAUCUAUUUUCCAGUGGUUACUGCAUUUGUUAAGAGUUGUUUUGCUAUCUUAAAUUCAUAAUUGAGCUCGAAUCAUAACUUGUGUUCAGGGUGACAGCGCUCAACUGACAUUGGAAUCUUCCUGGAAUCCUGAAGCCUUGUUUAGUUCGAAAAGUGAAAAGUUUUCGGUACUGUAGCACUUUCGUUUGUUUGUGACAAAUAUUAUCCAAUCAUGGACUAACUAGGAUCAAAAGAUUCAUCUCGUGAUUUACAGCUAAACUGUGUAAUUAGUUUUUGUUUUCGUCUAUAUUUAAUGUUUCAUGCAUGUGCCAUAAGAUUCGAUGUGACGGAAAAUCAUGAAAAAUUUUUGGUUUUCAGAGUGAACUAAACAAGGCCUGAGUUGAGGGUGACAGCGUAACUUUGAAACAGUCGCCAUGCAAGGCGCUGGUAUAACAUGUGGUUCAGUUUUACUUCUGUUCGUUUCGCUGGACAAUGAAAAAGCUUGCUUGAAUAAAAACCCUCACCAGGUCUCAAUCUUGAAUGGUCUUGAGUCUCGUGACAGCAGCCGAUUUAUAAGACCGCAAGGAGUGCAUCGCACGACUCAACUUAUACAAUUAGUUUUAUAAUUAGCUCAUAUUUAGUCUCUAUUUAUAUAAUUAGUUCAUAUUUAUAGUUCUUUUAAUUAGCAUCCGAAAGUUUGAUGCGAAAGGAAUUGAACUUUAGGUCUUGUUUAGUUUACCUCAAAAACCAAAAACUUUUUAAGAUUCACUGUCCCAUCGAAUCUUACGGUACAUGCAUGAAGCACUAAGGUCUUGUUUACUUGCAAAAUAUUUUGCAAAAUGUGAAUAGUACCAAUUUCGUUUGUAUUUGACAAAUAUUGUCCAAUCAUGGACUAUCUAGGCUCAAAAGAUUCGUCUUGUCAAUCCCGACCAAACUGUGUAAUUAGUUUUUAUUUUCGUCUAUAUUUAAUACUUCAUGCAUACGUCUAGAUUCGAUGUGAUGGGGAAUCUGAAAAAUUUUACAAAAUUUUUUAAGAACUAAACAAGGCUUAAAUAUAAACGAAAAUAAAAACUAAUAGCACAGUUUACCUAUAAAUCGCGAGAUGAAUCUUUUAAGUCUAGUUACUUCAUGAUUGGAUAAUAUUUAUCAAAUAAAAAUACAAAAAAUUUCGGACGUCACUGAUGUCUCCAUCCCCGAACAGUGGGCUAAGCCUACGCGGUGUCUGCUCCCUGGCAAAAAAAAAAAAGGAAAAAAAGAACAAAAAAAAGGGCCGGGUCAGUCAACUGCGUGCGUGAGCGUCUGUGCCAGGGCCGGGUCAAUCAACUGCGUGCGUGAACAAAAUACGGAUGCUUAUAGCGCCCAAUCUCUCACUGGACAUGGUUUUGCCACAGGCGUAUACACCGGCUGUACUUUAAGGCAUCAGAUGUUAUGUUGAUGCAUCCACUCUCCCGGAUCAACCAUCAAUGCUGCCCCCACAGGCCAGUUUUGGAGUUCUCAUUUUGUUAAAAUGCAGGUCCAACUGACGCAAACUAUCUACAUCAAGGCAAAGCUCUCUGGAUGUACUUCUGUGCUCAUGGCUGCAACCCUCGCCUUUGCUGCUACUGUUGCUGAGAGCAUGAACCUCAGCAACAUAAACUCGGACUGUGAACAGUUGGUUCACUUCCCGAAUACAAUGGAUCAAUCCAAUCCUCCUGAUUAGAGAAUCAAACAUUUUACACAAAUAUUUUCCAAUCACACAAGAAGUACAGAGUCCAAGAUCUUCAAGAUAAGCGACUGAACACCACAGCAGAUGCACUGGCGAGACAAGCCAUUUCAGACUCAGCCUUCCAGAACUUAAAUUGAAUCUUCUUGCUCCUAUGAGCAUCAUGUGCACCAGUGCAAUCUUUUACAAGCUCUACAUUCUGUGGACUUGAACAAUGUACUCAUACUUGCAGCACGUUGCUGCUGAUUGUUUGUUGUAAAAAAAACAAUAGCAGAAUAGUAGCAAAUGUGGGCGAUGGCGCAACUAGUCUGCAAGGCUGGAUGGGUAAAGAAUAAAGUCCGAUUCACCCAACCCUUAAGUCUCAAGUAGUGGCAGCUGAAUUAGAAAGGCCACCAAACUUUAAUAUAAAGCAAAACACACAUUUUAACUUUUAAAAUCAAACAAAAUACUAACAUUGGCUAUUUCUGUCAUUUGAUCUCUCUUUUUUUCUAAUAUGAAAAUGGUGUUAAAUGUAUGAGCAGCCUCUAAACUUACCACUUGUCUUAUAUAAAAACGAUGUUAAAAUGUAUAAGCGGCUCCUAACUUAUCACGGGUGUCACUUAGGUACAUAACUUUAAAAACAUAUUUCUAGAUCCUUCAACUUGUUAGUGGUAUACCACAGUGGUCGGCAUGAUACAUAGUAAAUAGACCUAUAGUGCACCAUUUAACAAGUUUAGGGGCGUAUGGUCUACCACCGAACAAGUUUAGAGAUCCACAAAUAUGUUCUCAAAGUUUGUAUACCUAAGUGAUACCUAUGAGAAGUUCAGAGCUUAUGCAUUUAACUCUGAAAAGGCAUAACUUCUUCAUUUAAAGUCGUAUGAAUACAAACUUUCUCUUAAAGUUGUAGAGCUCGAUACGAUAAGUUGUAGUUGAUAAGCUUUUUCUUUAAUAUAUUUUAGAGGAUCAAAUAUUCAUUUUAAGCUACUAGAUUUUGAAAUUUAUUUUUUUGAAUUUUUUAAAAUGACCUCAUACUUUAAAAUUCUAUAUAAUCUUACAGAUAGAAAUAAAAUUGCUACAAUUAUGGGUAUUUCACUUAAUUUUGAUAGGUAUAGGUAAUUAAAAGGUUGUCAAGUACAAGGCCAUAUUGUCAUCAAUGACUUUUAGAUCCUUCAGAAUUUUAAAAUAUUCAAGAUCAUUUAAAAAAUUCAAAAAUUAAAUUUUAAAAUUGAUAAUUUAAAACAUUUGAGCAUCUAAAACAUGCUAAAUAAAAAAAUAUCAAUUAUAAAUUUAUAGAUCAUGUAGAGUUCUACAACUUUGAUAUAAUUUGUAUUCAUACGAUUUCAUUUGUAAAAGUCAUGCUUUUUUUAUAUAAGAUAUAUAAAGAGAUCAAAUGAUAGGUGAAUCUCACUGCCCCAUUAACAAAAUCACUCUAGAAAUGUCGGUAUUUUGUAAACAAGCUAGUAAAUUUAUAUGAUUAUCACGCUACUCAAAGAAAACGAUGAUAGCAACAUCCAAAAGACACGAUGAUUUAUACAUGUUCAGACCGGAGCCCUACGUCCGGUCUCGAAGAUGAUCACUUGCGUGUUCCUCACUUGUGCUUACAAUGGGGGUGCAAUAAUGGUGGAAGAGGCGUGUGAUGGAUGAAUGGAAUGUCGAGAGAGUCCGUUGGAAUGGGUGCCCUGACUGUCCUUAUAUAGAGUUUGGGGCUAGGUAUCAUACAAAUAAGGAGAUUCUCCUGACCGAGAGCGACGAAGGUCGCAGGCAUGGCAUGGCGACGACGGAGGUGGCUGUCUUGCACCUGUUAGAUGAAUUGCUCCAAUGGAGUGAGUUUACCCAUGUUUAGAAGCGGUGAUUCUUUCCAAACUAGUUAGGGGACCAAACAUAAUCUACACAAGCCGCAGCCGCAGCUGCAACCUUGUUUAGUUCAUGAAAAGAAAAGUUUUUGAUACUGUAGCACAUUUGUAACUAUAGCAAUUAGUGUCCAAUCAUGAACUAAUUAGACUUCGUCUUGCAAAAUACAUGUAAAUUAUGUAAUUAUUUUUUUAAUUUAUAUUUAAUAUUUUAUGCAUGUGUCCAAACGUUUAAUACCAUGGCACAAAAAGUUUUUAGCUGACCGUUCGACUGGUUGUGGUUGCUCUGCUGCUGAUCAGAGCUGAGGCUCCAGACAGUGAGGAGCAGCUCCAGAACAUGCGCCUUUCCAACGCCAUGAAAGCCGUCGUCGCCCGGCCCAAUGAGGCCGCGCCGCGCCGCCCGCAGCCGCAGUGACCCAUCCCGCCGUCGCUCUCCGUGCCUCCCGCAGCCGAACGGCCUUAUCCUCCUCUCCUCUCAAGAGGCAGGCAAUGUCAUGUGUGCAAGAAUCUAACUCCAUUUGCCAACUUCGAGGCGGAGUUCGUUUCCCCUUCCAUUCCAUUAUUAUUGGACAGAGAUCGAGACAAGGCCGAGAUUCUUCUGUGUGUACUUGCAGGAAUCCUUUGCCCGUACGUACUUCAUUCCUCCCCGACCCGAGCAGAUAAAAAGCUACUCUACUCUAGUCGUAGUUACGAAAAGACGCGCGCGGAGGACAAAAGGACGCGAUCGCGUACCGCUACGGCGCCAAUACCAUCUCCAUACGCCUCAAGUACCUACGUGUACGUACGCGCUGCCAAUGCCUCCAUCCGUAGGCGUCCCUUGGGCGGGCCUUGGCCCUUGCCAAUGUGGUCAACACAUGCCGGCCGGCGUCAUGCAAAGCUGCUGACCCCAAUGCAUGGUCUGUUUCCGGUACACUUCUCCAUCAACAUAAGUGCAGCAGCUUCACUUCAUUGCAGCAUGACUAUAAUACUGGCCUUUUACAUGUGUCCCAUUUGCAACCUCUAGUUGUUUUUUUUAUUAGUGUGUGCACACAUGCAUCCAUUAUCGAUCGAUGUCUUCGAUCGGGCUGAUGCUGAACGUGGUUUAUUCCUCUUCUUCGAGAUGACCAAUGAACGUCAGAGAGAACGAGCUAGUAUUCCUACAAGCUGCUAAAAAUGACGUCGUCCAAGAAGAGCUGCCCACACAACGAUGCGUGUGACGAGAGGAAUCCCCCACGGUUGUUGAGAACCAGCAGCAAGUUGCAUGGCUGCAAGCUACCUAGACCUACGUGUGCAUGCCAUCUAUAAACGAUGCUCUGUUUUUCGAGCUGUUAUCCAAACCUCUCCUCUCACACAUGCAUCACUCAAGUGUCCUUUCCAGCUCACCCCCUAACGACCUGCAUAGUACGCAUACAGUAUAUAGAGAGAGCACAAACCUUGAGGCCAAACCGUCAGUAUUUAACAAUCCACGCAAACUAGGCAUACCCUCUGUUGUCUGCUGUGUGUAUAUAUAUAUACUACGCCCAACCACACUGCCACAUACACACACUUGGAUGCAUACAUGUUCACAAGCAGCAUGAAGGCAGGGUCGUCCAAGGGGAGAUUCCUCAAUCUCAAGGCCUUCCUCCAUGCGUGGAAGAAACUCGCCGCCGCUGAGACGGCGACGGCCAGCGCCGCUGGGUGGGCACAGCUCGACGGCGACGGCGAAACCAUCCCCAGGGACGUGCCCAAGGGCCACACGGUGGUGUACGUCGGGGAGGAGCUGAGGCGGUACGUGGUCAGGGUGUCCUCCCUCGACCACCCGCUGUUCCGCGAGCUGCUCGACCGGGCGCGGGACGAGUACGGCUUCGCCGCCGCCGACACGAGGCUGUGCCUCCCCUGCGACGAGGACAUGUUCCUCGCCGUCCUCUGCCAUGUCGACGCCGAGCGAGAGUGGAGCCUGGCACUGUGCAGCUGACCGCGGUACCGCCCCGGCCGGUCGGUCGGUCGCCCUCGUCGUUGAAUUCUUCGACUUGGCUGCCCUGUUUGUUCUGUAAUUCUGUUCCAGAUGUUCCAAAAGUCGAGCAUGUUUACAUGCUUGUCCUGUUUAUAGGGUGUAGACUGUAGAGGAUGCUAGCAGUUAGCUCCAGUGGUCCAUAAGACCAUAACCAUAUUGUGCUUCGACUUUUCAAGGAUGCACCGCAAGGUGCUUUGAAUUGUUUUAGCUGCUGCAACUGCAACCAGGAGAUGCAUGCACGCAUUCGAGUGCAGGGGCAGGGGUAUUACUGCUUUUUUUUUGGCCCAUAUUGUGGCCUCGAGUAUUUUUCAUGGCUCAACUUACAACCAGCAGUUUUCCUUGCAAGAGUUGACGGACGCAUGCACUUGUAAAGUGGACAUGACACGCUUACACGCAUGAACAUUUGACCUGUAAGGUGACACCAGAAUGUACCGCAGAUAGAUCAAGAUGAAUCUGCUGAUACGAUCAAUUAUACAGAUCAGAUGCCAUAAGACUGUGGCCUAUAGAAGUAUGGUUAUAACUCUCUCGAUUUUUAGAUGGGUCUAGUUGAAGUCAGGCUUUUCAGGGUAAGUGCAGCCAGAACGUUGGAUGAUAACAUUGGCGGCGUAACAGGCAGCUCUGACACACUCGUCAAUGCUCUUCUCUUGAACCAACUGAGAUAGGAAGCCUCCAACGAAGGCAUCACCUGCCAGAUAAUGCUUAAGCUUGAGGAACAAAUACUUAUGCAAAACAUAAACAUGAAAAACAUGUGGCAUCAUAUUCUUGUAUUGGUAUACCAAGCAGGUGUUUUGUUUGAGGGGCACAAAUUUAAUGAGUUUGUUAUGGUAGCUAGAGGAUGACACAAAGAAAAGAAAGGUGCAAUGUAACAAUGAGAUAUUACUCCACUGGAAACUAUUGCGUUUCAAGUACCUGCACCAUUCGUGUCAACAAGCUUCUCCUUGGGCAAGAGGAUCACAGGGAAAGUCUUCACCUGAAAGCAUAGUAUUUAAGAAUAACAGGAACUAGGAUAAACAUUUGUCUCAAGUAGCCAAGGUCCAAUAAACAAAAAAUGAUGUGAAUGUUAACUUUAUGAAGACUUAUAGUUGCUGUAAAUAAUCCACAUCGAUGUUUGUUUAACAGAAUGCAAAUGUCACAACAGUCAGUGUAAAAAUGCAGGACACUGUAAGCAGGAGAUUUACCUUUCCAUCAUCAGCCACAACUACUGGAUCACGACCUUGAGUGAUCACAGUAAUCCUCUUGUGUGUUCCUGAAGCCUUCGGUAAUUGAGAGAUCUUCCAAGCAAUCUCCUCAACAUUCUCAGUCUGAAAAUUUUCAUCGGGAACCUUUUAGAAUUUCACUAACCUAGUGAAAAUAACAAGACAUAUCAGUAGUUACCUCCCAACCACGAACUUUAGCAAAGGUCCUCGCCUCAGUUUCAUUUCCAAAGAUGUAGUCCACAUACCUAUAUUUGGCAACAUAAUAAGGUUUUACAUAGUACAGAAAAAUUGGAAAACCUAACAUCCACCACGAUGAAACAAGCUUUGCUCCACAAACUGAACAUGUUCAAAUAAAGGUCAGAAAAUACAGCAUCAUUACACAUCAAAGUCACCACUACAGUCUGGUCGGUUGUAAACAAACUUCUUUAUCCUAUUAAUACAACGAUACUCGCUCCGUCCCCAAAUAAAUCAAUUCCUAGAAUCCGUGCCAGUCAAACUUUUUUUAGUUUUAACUAACUUUAUUAAAAAAAGUAACAAAAUCUAUAAUAUAAAAUGAGCAUCUCAUGAAAAUAUAUUCUAUGGAAAAUCUAAUGGUACUAAUUUCAUACCAUAAAUCUUAGUGGUUUUUUCUAGAAACUUGGUCAAAGUUUAAAAAGUUUCACUUAAGACAACUCUAGGAAUUGAUUCUUUCAGGGAGUAUCUACUUAAUCGAGAAAAGAAAAGCUACACAUCCAGAUCCAGCACUUACGGAAGAGCUUUCUCUUGGGCAUCACGGAAAACCUCGCAGAUAAAGGGGGCAGAAAGGUUCAUCAUAAACACCUAGAAAUAUUGCAACCAAUGGAAAUCAGACAACAUUAGCAAAGAUGGUUUUCUUUUACUAGCAUAAUUUUACCUUGUUGGUUGCAGCAGCAUGCUCAGCAACAAGUUGAAUAGAAUCCGGGGACACCGUAAGGAAAAAUCCAGCAAUGUAAAUAUAUUUUGCCUUCUCAACUAUGAUUAAUGCAUAUCAUAAUCAGUAAACACAAUCCAUGAUACAAAAGUAUCGAGUGCAAACAAGUAGCAGUGAUGUUAUGCAAGAAGCCACAAGCAAUGACUUGCAUAGAUGGGUAUAGGCUAUGUGGUCGACUAGCAAACGAACUAAUGUUAUGACAAGGUGCAAUUUUGCUAUUGCAUCUGCACUGCUCCAGAGAACUAUGAUAUGCCUGACACCAAAAAAUCAAAAGAAAAAUGGUGCAGAAAACAGUAAAGAAAAUGUUUGGAUGCUCAUUACUACGUAAUAUGCUAGAUUUUCUGGUGGGAACCGAAAUAUUGUCUCAAUUGUUUGCACCACCUGUCCACUUGUACUACAAUAGUACAUAAAUAACCCCCCAGAGAAAUAAGAAGAAGAAUUGGAGACAUUUGUGCUAAACUGACUAUCCAAAGAUGUUUGUCACCUUAUAAAAAACGACGUUUGUCAUUCUCAGAGCACAAUGGACAACCACUCGACCAGAGCAAUUCCAAGAAGAACAUAUGAGUACCAUUGUGUCCAAAGUCCAAACAGCACGAUGAACAGUAUUUGUAUCAAGAGAAAUAAUGGUGGAAAUUCUUAAAGCUGCUCUGUGGUCUAUUUGCAUUACCAAGUGCCCAAUUCUCUGGUUUCUUCAGAUGUUCAGACUUGUAGCAGUUUGCAGCAGACAAGUUAGCAAUAAGUGACCUGUUUACAGUUUUUAGGGACUGAUUAAAAUUAAGACAUGCUUGUUGAAGUGAAGACAUUGUAGCAAGCAUACCUUUCUCCACCAACAACACAGACAGCACAUGUGCCUGUUGGAGCAUUCUCAUCCUCAUAAUAAUGGGCCUGGAUGAAUAGAUGGCAGGGUUAUAGUAGUUAGUUGUGCAAUGAGGUGAAGUAUCACGAAGAAGAAAAAAAAUAAAGAAGGAACUUGCAACUUACAUUAAUACCAGCAGCUUGUGCAUUUUUCUUCAUCUCCUCACCAAACUUAUCCUUCCCAAUACAACCUAUGUAACUUGUUGCGCCAGGAAUUUGAAGCAUCCACUGAAAAGUAAUCAGGAUUGUUAUGAUUUGUUUUAUUAUGAGUAGAUGUAACCAAUUAGGACUGGUCAUAGACUAAUAGCUUUGAAUAUUUGUUAUGACUUUUCUUCAGAGCUUACUUGGGCAACCCUGAUAGAGUUUUGAGUGGCUCCUGAAAGAAAAGAACAGUUAAUAAAUAGAAGAAGAGAGAAAAUGAAUCAUGAAGCAGUACUUCAUGCAUGUGCACUAACAUUACCUCCAGCAAUGUAUUCAACAUUGCUCUUGCUAGCCAAUUCAUCAUACCUGCCAGAACAUAGAAACACAGGUCACCAUUUGUAUAUUUGAGAUAAAUUUCAGCUUAUAGUCAUAUAAGGAAAUUUUUGUUAUGACAUCAGGAAUAGGCAGUUUGAGAUACUCUACUAAUUAGUAAUUACUAACCUCAAGCCAUGUAUACCUGGACAUAAAAAAUUGCUUUCUAAAAAAAUUAGAAGUCCUACUAUGUUUCUCCCCUGUCUCAUGGGCGCUUAUUGCGACAAUAUCAAGGAUUUGUUUUCCAUUCUCCAUUCAGGACAAACCAGCAUCAAGUAACCAACAUUUCAAACUGCAAGGGAAGCUAAAGGGGCAACGAGACUUACAUUGGCAAAUGCUUGUCCUCGGCAAGAAUGGCAUUGCCAGGCUUCACGUCAUACCUAGAGCACAGGUGGAGCGAGAAACGUGUUGAUUAGCUCGAAAUAACUUCAGCUGCAGCUUAACUACUCAGAACAAUGGCUAUAUGCAUUCUAUGCAGAGGCCGGAUCGUUCUUCCUUUAUCUUAAAAAAAACUACUACUCAGAGUAAGGCAACCGAGAAACACUGUCCUAAUCCAACACACAUCGUUCUAACGAAGCAACAUGAUUAAAGACAUGUUUUUCGCGGACCCCAGCUAAGGCAGGUGGCGGAGAAGGGAAUACGAUGUGCAAGCAAACAAAGUGAGCCCAAGCGAACACUGAUGAGUGAUGAGAAUGGUAGUGAUACUGACAGUAGUACUAGCACAGUAGUAUUUUCUAAUAGAUUAGCUUCGCUAAGGCGCUCCCGGUCUCGGGUAUUGCUGGUUAUUUCAGUUGCAUGCUACGAACUGGUUGUUCAGAUUCAGAGUUUCAGAGGGGGAAAAAAUCUAGAACCCGCAAUCCUGCGCCCAUAAGGCAAUAACUGCCGUUGGAUAUAACAGAACGGUGAUGCUCGAGCGGUCGAGCCCGCAUCACACCACUGCCAAAAUUACAUACUGAAACUUAGAACAAUUAAUAGGCGCAGUUGAGAGAUCGUGAGACGAGGAGAGAAGUGAUCGGGGAGGAAUCGAGUACUUGGCGAGGAAGCCCUCGUCGACGACAGCGGAGAUGUCGAGGAGGGGGUUCCCCAUCCCCAGGAGGAUCCCCUCGUAGCCGCUGCUGGCCAUUUCCUCCUCUCGAGCUGAAGCCGAGCGCGGCGUCGGCGGAGCGAGAGAGAUCGUGUGGCGACGGGCGAGUUCGGCAACUGGAACCACGGACGGGGGCACGGGGCGGCGCCGGCCGGAGAAUUCGCUGAGCUAUUCGUCACGGGCGGCAGUCGGCAGGGCAAAGGAAGAGGGAGAGAACCCGGGUUGCCUAUGCCACAGGCCCACGUGCCGCCGGCCCAACAACGUUGCGCCACGCACGCACGCGCGAGCCGCCGGUAAGGUGUCACCGCGUGUCACAGUUUCUAGCACCUGCCCCACUCGGCCCACGUAUCGUACGCGACAUCGCCCAAGGGCACAGUGGGCUAUAGCACGGUGGAUUGGACCCGUAAACGAGACCGGCCCAGAAUUUCCGAUGGAUUAUGUUAUGUUCUAAUCACGUCCACGGAAUUAGAAACCAAUUAGGCCUUGUUUGGAUGUAGUUGGAUUCGCAUCAAUCCACAUGUGUUGAGGCGGGUUGGAGUGGAACUCGAACUAAAUUCCACCCCAAUCCACUCCAACACAUGUGGAUUGAGGUGAAUCUGAUAACAUCCAAACAAGGCCUUAGGCGGAUAUUGUCGGAUUCAUUUCAAUGCAUGUGUGUUGAUGUGGAUUGGAGUGGAAUUUAGUUCAAGUUUCACUCCAUUCCACAUCAACACAUGUGGAUUGAUGUAGAUCCGACUACAUCCAAACAAGGCCUUAACAAUUACACAGCCGAUGAAAAAGAAACUAAGUUUUAUUUUUAAUAAAAACACUUAUAUUCUCAAAUUUCAGUUUUGAAAAUUUACAGAAUUAAAUAGGACAAAACUUAUCAGCAAAACUUUUACACUCAACUCUUUGAAUAUAGCUUUUGGUAAAUUAUGUAGACAACUCAUCAUGAAACCUUUUUAUAUGGUAUUUACAAGCCAACUCUCGAUAUAAAUUUUCAAGCGUAAUUUUAUAUAAUAAAUUUUGUGAAUAACAUGAUUUAUACAAAUAAAGUUUUUAUUGUUCAGCGUUUUCCCAAAAGUAUACACAAUUUAUCCAUCAAAUUUUUUUUAAAAAAAAUAUGAAGACAAACUCCUCAACUUAAGAAACUUUUUCAUAGUAUAUAAAAGAAAAAUAGGUAGAUUAACAAUAUGAAAAUAAUGAAAAAGGAAAGGAAAGAAAACCCAGGACCGCACAAAAGCAGCGAAUGACCACUAAAUUGGAAUUGGCGUGUUUACUACUUGUUGCCUUGUUGGGCCUGCACUAUAUAUUUCGAAUUUAUUCUCUCUCAUUCUCCGUAGAUAGUGAUUUACAAUCUGAAUUCCGAAUUAAAAAAUGAAGUGUUGUUCAGAUUUUUAAUCUCAUUGUGAUUAUUACAUUUGCAGAAUAAAAAACACCUCAUUCUCUUUUUUGAGAUCAGGAGUUUUGAUGCUUCUCAUGGCCGUUCGACCCGACCAAUUCAAUCCGACCCACCUAGAAAAAUAAACUAUUGGUAAUAUAGAAUCGGGCCAUUGUCUCAUCUUCUUUAGUGUACCUAAAUGAAGUAAAUAAACAAUUUUUUUUUCUUCAUUUUUUUAUUUAGUUCAUUACAGUAGAGAAGAACCGUAUCCAUUUGAAGAGCUAUCCUCAUCCUUACAACUAAUGCAUGCGCGGUGGUAAGUGGCAUAAGUUUGGUUGAGCGAUCCCAUGCAUUCUUGCUUUAGCAGCAGUUGAGUUCAACAGUACCACCAGCCGACGACGAGGAUAUGGGUUGACUAGUGGAGCGGUGGUUGGAACCAACUUCCGCAGGUGCAGCGAUAUGAUGCAUAUCCAUAUGACCAUGCAUGAGCCAUACACACUAGCUAGGAUCCACGUACAUCUAUCUGAGCUGCAAGUCAAACGGGUGCUUUCCUCAUUUUCCUCACGCCUACCUCUCUCGCCAGGAAGCUAAGCUAAGGACACGCACCAGCUAAUUCCCGUCAGCUGGUCCUCCACAUGAUCCAUCACUAGUAACUGCUAGUCCCUCUUCAUGUCCAGGUAGGGGCUAGGGCCUAUGGUGGGCUUUGUUUGGUAGACGACGACAGCUGCCUUCUCUCAUAGCUUUGCUUAAUAAGGAUAAACCUGAAGCUGCAACGGCCGGCGCGGCUUUCAGAUCUCAGCCCGUUUGUUGGUUUUUACUACUGAUCUAUCCCGUAUCCUGAUGCACGCGAUUCUUUUUCCUGACUGGUAUAAAACAGAUCGACAGAGUACGUUGAUCCUGUCAUCCCUGUGCAUAUAAACUCUGGGAAUCAUCGAUACAAUCUGGCCAGCCUUGCGGCGCACCAACACCACACCACGGCGAGGCGAGGCGAUUGUGCGCUGCAUGCUCGCUCGAAAGUGCCUUCCACAUGCACGUUAGUACGUUACGGCCGGAUCGAUCGGAAUAGCAACAUGCCAACGGCCAACCCCCACGUCUCACAUCACAUGCAUGUGUUGAAAGGUACUCCUACCAGUUUCAGUUUCAGAGCUGCACCUGCAAGCGCGCGCGGCUCCAUCUCCAUCCAACAGCUACCAGCGCUGGAUCUUUUUGUCCUGUUUCUCCACUUCGAAUUCGCGCAAGACGUACGCCCUCAUCAUCCACAGUUCGACGAAACUGGAGAAUCUUUCGUGGUAGUACUCAGUAGCAUAUAUUUAGGCUUUGUUUAGUUCACCAAAAACUAAAAAAAAUUCAAAAUUUUCCGUCACAUUAAAUCUUAUGUCACAUGCAAAGAGCAUUAAAUAUAAAUAUAAAUAAAAAUUAAUUGCACAAUUUGUCUGUAAAUCACAAGAUGAAUCUUUUGAACCUAGUUUAUCUAUGAUUGGACAAUAAUUGCCAAAUAAAAAUAAAAAUGUUAUAGUACCUAAAACCAAAACAAAAGAUUUACAACUAAACAAGGCCUUAUUGUAUAGGGGGAUGCAUGCCUUCAACUGGUCCAUACUCCCUCCGUCCCUGAAAGAAUCAAUUUCUAGAAUCCGUGUCAGUCAAACUUUUUAAAGUUUGACUAACUUUAUAGAAAAGAGUAACAACAUCUAUAAUAUAAAAUACACAUUAUAUGAAAAUAUAUUUUAUGAUGAAUCUAAUAAUACUAAUUUGAUACUAUAAAUCUUAGUAUUUUUUUCUAGAAAUUUGGUCAAAGUUUAAAAAUUUUUACUUAGGACAACUCUAGAAAUUGACUCUUUCGUGGACGGAGGGAGUAUAUUUUAUCCGUCGGCUAGCUUCUUUGUCGUGGCAGCGUCGUCAGCGCGCAUCGUCGCUGAUCCAUUUGUUCACGGACGGGUGUCUAGUACCACGGACUAGGAUAGCAAGCACGUGCAAUGCCAAACGAAGAAAUAAUGCAACUUGCAUUGUUGGCACGGACGUACGUAUACCAUUGAAAAAAGAAAUCGUUCUCUGGUCAUUUCGUCUUGCAGCAUAUACCAAGUAUAACUUGCCGUACAUGUUCUAACUACCAACUUGAUUUGGCACGUGCUCUUUUUGUCCCCAAUUAACUGUCGCCAAAGAUUUUUAUUUUAAAAGUUUGACUUAAUUUGCAAAAAAUACACACAACAUUUAUAUUUUUAAAUAAAUUUAUUUUAAAAACUAAAUUUAAAUAUUUAUCUAAGGAUAUAGUUAUGUAUUAUAAAUAUUAAUAUUUUUAUAUAUAUUUAGUUAAAGUUAUUUCUUGAAAAUUAAAAAAGACAGAUAUUUAAAAACGAAAAGAGCACGUAUAUAUUAAAAUGAAUCAUUCUUUGGUCAUUUCCGUCUACCCGAAGGAAAGCAGAAUUCUGUGGGGUUCAUUAGGACGGGGUCGUUCUCGUUACGUUCAGGAUUACAUUACAUGGAUAUCGAUGGAAUCACAUGCAUGACUCUUGACUCAUGACUCAUGACUGACCGCUAGCACGUGGACGACUAGCUAGCACGUGCACGACUAGUAGGUUUAAUGCGUGUUUUUUUACGUGUCAAACGACUCACAAAGAUGACACUUCAUUAUAUAUAAUGCAUACAAACUUGUGCCAACCUACUCCCUCCAUUGUUUUUGACAUGUCAUGUUAACUUUAUCCUAAGUCGAAUUUUAGUAUUUUUAACCAACCGUAUCUUUAAAAACAUUAUAAUUUACAACAUAUAAAUCAUAUUAUGAGCCGCUCGUCUGAAAAGUCAUGGCUGAAAAUACUAUUCGUUGAUUUGUUGUGAGAAAAAAACACAAAUAAACUCAAGCGAAAAGUCUCAUUAUGAAAAUAUUUCUCAUAGUAAAUCUAAAAACACAAUCUUAUAACAUAAAUAUAUAUAAUUUUUUUAGAUCAAUAUUUAAGAUACAAAUGUUAAUUUGAUUUAGGACAAAUCUAAUACGACAUCUAAUUAAAAAACGGAGAGAGUACUUGCAUCAGCACCGAUGAGUUGUACUAACCUGCUCGAUCAAAAUCAUCAUCCGCUUAUACGAAGCUGCCGCCCUGAUUCAAACAUGUGAGAAGAAAUCACACUACCUCUGAAUCUAAUUAACUAGCUUAUGGUAUUCGCUGAUUUUCUGAUUAGCCCAUUGUUUCUAAGUUUUGUCGCUAGGAAACUGUGUGUUCGGAAAUGUGGUGACCUUGGAGCUUUAUCCUUCGUUUCUUUUGACCAUGUAAUUGCUGAAAGAAUUUCCACAGAGAGCAGUCCAAUCCGCCCAUACCUUUUUGUUUUUCCAUUGGAUAGGCCAAAUGUGGCUUAUUUCUCUUAUGCACUAUCAAGUCAGGUGGUGCUCGUUAUUCUCGAGUUCUUGCGUUGGUGAUCGAACUACAGUACUACGGUAGCUGUCGUGCAAUUUGGCUGUUAGUUCUGUUUUUGGUGCUACCUUGGUUAGCUGGUACUUCCAGCUUCUGUCAAGUGUCUAUAACUGAAUAUUGUGCUUUCUAUACUAUACGAGUUUACCUCUGUUAUAAAAACAAAAGGUUCUAUCAUCGAAGAAGGAGACAUUGACUUCCAACCUACAAGUCAACGGCGCGCCAGCUGAAUGUAUAGGCAUAUCACAUAUGUUGGAUAUGGUUAAAUACAGUUCCUCUGCCCAUUUCAGUCGAUGGAGGAUUUUGUCAUGGCCAGUCAAAGUUUACUUUGAUGAUCAGCCAGACUUAGUUUAAACCAAAACAACAUAGCCUCAAUGAUGACUACUAACGGUCCGGAACAAUAUAAAUCUACAGUGAUUAGAUAAGAAACACAUGGACAAGUCGUGCCCAAAUAUAUUUCCCCUUGACUGAUGAAUCUCUUCAGAUAACGUUUCCUGUCCCAAGACUGAAAACGAAGAACGUACUGAACUGGUAAAUAAUUUUAUAUACUUGUUUGUUCAUUUGAAAAGUACGUAAUUUUAUAUAGCUAACCUCUGUCGUAUUCUAAAGAAAUAGCUAACCCCUGUAUCUCUUAUUUAUUACGUACUGUACUUGUACAGUACAAUGCGUGCUGAGAACUCCCGUGGUUGGUAGGUGCAGGCAGUCGAGCAUGGUUGGGUGUGGAUGGAGUCGUUGGUAGCUAGCUGGUAGAAGUUCAUAUCCCUAUCAGCAUCUGUACCCACAGGUAUAUGUAGCUGUCAAGCUGUGGUUAUCCAUACAAUCUUUUAUCAGAAACAGAGUAAACAUUCCGUACAUAUACCGGUAUAGUCUCAGUGGGGCUUUCAUCAGAAUGUCAUACACAUUUAUUAGAGCGUCAUGUCAGUAAAACUAUACUUUUUGCAUUAAACGAAGAGGAGAGAGAAGGAAGUAGUUUCACCAUGGCGAAACUCCGCGGGCGUUGUUUCCCACGCGGUGAAACGGGAUGAAAUCCUCAGCGAGGACUAAAUCGUUUCACCAUCUUGCAUGUGAUCCAAUCAUUUUGCAGUAAUUAAAUGUUUUGCCCAGCCUAGGAAACGUCAAGGUGAAACUCAGGCAUUGUGGAGGUUAUUUUAUUGUUCGUUUCAUUGAUGCUUUGUUAGCAGAUUUGUUUUGGAAAUAGUACAUUAAAACGGGCCACUAGACUAGCAAUCUAUAUUUUGGUAUCCACAGCUACAUCCUUCGGACAUAAGAGCAACUCCAAGACUACCUAUAUGCACUUGGCAAAUCCUAAUUUUCGGCAAAACAUGGAAAAAGCUCCUCCAACACUACCCUAUAUGCACUUGGCAAAAUAGGAUGCUUGGCAAAAAGAGGGCCAACUGGCUCAAAUUUAGGAGCGUUGGGAGCGCUUGGCAUCCUGCCUACGCGGUGGGACCCACACAUUCAGCAUGCGCGCAUGCCUUAAAUAGAUUGCAACUUUUGCAUAAAAGUCCCUCUGAUUUUUUUCAGAAAUCACAAGAUAGUCCAAAUUUGCCAAAAAAAUAGCUAACUGUUGGAGAAGCCUCUUUUUUUCACUUGGCAUUUGAGUUUUACACUUGGCAAAAUCCAAAAUUUGCCAAGUGAAGUUUAGGGUAGUGUUGGAGUUGCUCUAAUACCAGCAAUAACCACAGCCAAUCCCUAAUCAUUUUGGGGACCAUAUCCUGAUGGACAUCUGAAUAUCUGAUGCAUAGCGAAUCGUGUUUCGCCCAGCCCAGCAAGAUCACGCGAGAGAGGACUUCUGUCACUCUCAGUAUCAAUAAUUCUAAACCUCUCUUGCCAAACGUGCAGCCAAUUAUCCAACUAUGGACUAAACUUUAGUCCGAUGAUCCAAACAGACCCAUGAUCCAAAUAGAACCUAUGAACUAUGCUGGGCUGAUGUCCUAAUGAUAAAUUAAACAGUUUUCCAUAGAUUGUGAUCCUGACGUAACCAGAAGAGACAACAUUGCGACAGAGCGAGGAGCCCAUGUACGUACUCAAUAUAGUAGUAGUGCAUUUUACUUCAAAAUAAGUAGAUUACAGAUCAGAAAAGCUGAGUGGCAGACCAUGGCCAAUGACAUGGCAGCAAGGUAAGAACAACAGAGACAGAAUACACGUUUGCACGGAUCACUGCUACAAUCACAAAAAAAGGACGAACACAGAACAACAACAUAUAAUAAUAAUCUUCAACUUCAAAUCGCAAACGAAAUGAAGCCUUGAGAAUACUGAAAAAUACUCCCUUCUUUAUUCCUUUCUCGCAUACGGUACGGUGUGAUCUCCUCCUCGAUCCUCUUGCCUCUUGGCGCCGGCGCCGGCCGGUGGCGGCGUCCUGCUGCUUAGCAGAUGGGCAGGGGCUUGCCGUCCCACUCCUUGAGGCACUCGAGCAUGGGGUCGAUGAGCUUGCCCUCGCUGAGCGCCAGGAACACCUUGUUGCACUCCUCGCCGGGGGACUUGAGCUUCUCGCCGGUCAGGUACACGGCGCCGAGGUCCUGGCGGAUGAAGCGGUACAGCGGGUACGACCGGCUGUCCUUGAUCCUGUUGCCGAUCGGCGCCGUGCCCGUCUCGAACGCCACGCGGGCGGCCUCCAUCUCCCUGGGCAGCGCCUCCCUUAGCGCCUCCUCGAACCUGUUGAUCUUGGAGAAGACGGACGCGCUGGCGUCCUUCUCGGCCUCGCCGCUGGCGAGGGCGUGGUCCACCAGCACGGCGCGGAUCUUCUUCAUCAGGGGCGAGUUGGCGCUGCAGGGGUCGUCGUAGUACCCGUACACGGCCUCGCGGUCGAUGGCGGUGAGCAGGGCCUUCUCGCUGAAGCGCGCGCUGUGGAGGUCGCCGUCGAGGCUAGUGGUGAGCACUUUCCUGGCCGCCGCCAUCACGCAGUUCUUGACGGCGCUCUUGAGGUUCUCCUCGAGGUGGCGCAGGUCGACGGCCUGGCACAGCGCCACCAUGUACGUGGACGACAUGAGCUUGAGGAUGUCCACGGCCUCGGCGGUCUUCCUGGCGGAGACGAGGCCCAGGGAGUUGACGUCCUGGUUGUGCUGCUCCGCGCUCUGGACGUGGUUGGUGAUGGGGUUCGCCAGGUACUGGAGCUCCGAGCAGUAGGACGCCAUGGCGAUCUCGGUGCCCUUGAACCCGUAGUCCAGGCUCGGGUUGCGGCUGCCGGCCAGGUUGGAGGUCAGCCCGUUGUUGUAGAACUCGUUCACCAGCUCCGAGAACUGGGCAAACAUGAGCUUGCCGAUGUUGGCGAUGGCGAGGCGGGCGUUGUCCAUGGAGACACCGAUCGGGGUGCCCUGGAAGUUGCCGCCGUGCAGCGCCUUUCCGCGGUGGACGUCGAUGACCGGGUUGUCGUUCACCGAGUUGACCUCGCGCUCGAUGGACUUGGUGGCGGCGCGGAUGACCUCGAUCUGGGGGCCCAGCCACUGCGGCGACGUGCGGAGCGCGUACCUGUCCUGCUUCGGCUUCAGCAGCGGGUCCAUGGCGUUCACCUCCUUGGCGUGCUUCAUGAAGGAGCUGCCGUCCAGGAUGUGCUCCAUGAUGGCGGCGGACUCGAUGGACCCCGGGUGGUGCUUCAGCUUGUGGGUGAGGUGGUCGGUGUACUCAGGCUUGCCGUUCAUCACCUCGCAGAAGACGGCGGACAGGACCGAGGACAGGACGGCGAGCACGUUGGCGUCGAAGCACACCAUGGCGGCGAGCGCCGACCCCACGGACGUGCCGUUGACGAUGGCCAGGCCCUCCUUGGGGUUGAGCUUGAAGAAGCCGCCCUGGAUGCCGGCCACCUUGAACGCCUCGGCGGCGUCCACCUUCCUCCCGUCCACGGUGACGGCCUGCGCGUUGGGGCGGCCCGUGAUGAGGCCGGCGAUGUAGGACAGCGGGACGAGGUCGCCCGACGCCGUGAUGGUGCCCCGCAGCGGCAGGCACGGGCUGACGCCGGUGUUGAGGAGCUUGGUGAUGGCCUCGAGGAUCUCGAAGCGGAUGCCCGAGUAGCCCUGGAGGAGGGUGUUGAUGCGGACGAGCAUGGCCGCGCGCGAAACCUCGGACGGGAGCGUGUGGCCGUCGGAGCCAUUGCCGAAGAUUCCGGCAUUGAGAUGCCUGGUUGGUUGCAUGCGUUGCAGACAGAAGGGGAGAGAAAACAAACAAAUCGAGCAAUGUCAGUUGUAAUGUCAUUACGAGUAGGAUGCAAAAUGUUCAUAGAAUCUAGUAUCGAGAAUUUUAAUGAGCUAUUAGCUGCUGCCUGAUGACAGGCAUCAUCGGCAGCAGCAAUUGCAAGGUGCAACGACCGGACGGUCGGUCCCGGUCGUUGGCAGUGGGCACUCAUCAUCAUCAUCAGUGACUCGUCACAUGAAUCAUUUGACGCUGCAACCACUCCGCUGACAGACUACUUUACUGCGACGACAAGUAAGCAGAGGAGACGUCAUGAGAGUGGCAUGCAGUAGUACGCUAGUACCUGAGCAGCUCGACCUGGAGCGCGGGCCCGUCCUUGGUGCGGCGGUGGGAGGUGCCGCCGAAGCCGGUGGUGACGCCGUAGAUGUCGCCGCCGUGGGCGAUGCAGUCGAGGAUCCACUCGCUGCUGGCCUUGACGCGGGGGCGGGCCUCCUCGUCCAGCUCGACGGCCACGCCGGACGCGUCCUUGGCCGCGGCCACGGCGGCCACCUGGCCGACGCGGAGCGUGGAGCCCUCGAUCUUGACGACGGGGUCGCGGAACUGCGCCACCAUGCGCUUCACCUCGUCGAGGUGGCUCCCCGUCAGCUCCGCGGCCGCCUUGCCCCAGCUGAGCGGGUCGCUCUCGAGGAUGGCCGUGUUGCUCGCCAUUUCGACCGGGGAGGAGGAGAUGCGUGUGAUGCUAACGCGGACGGUGGUGGUGGUGGAAGAAGAGCUCGGGAGGGAGAGGGCAGUUGAGUCUGGAGCUCUUCUUGGAGGGAGAUGGAGCGGGGGCGAGGAGGUUAUAUAGGUGGCAUUACAUUAGCGAUCGUAGCAGCGGGGUUUAGGUGGGUGAGGCCGGGUGUUGGUGGGUUAGUUGGCGACCGGGUUGGUGAGUUGAGUGGUGUGGUGGAGGUGGAUCUCUCAUCCCAGACCCAGAGAUUGGAGUGAGAUUCUUUUUUUUUUCUCUGUUGAUUGACAUACCACUAUACCAGAGUAGUAUGUGCGUGCAGGUGACCGUGUAUUGACAUUGUUGAGCUGAGGUGCACUGAAGUCUGAUCUUGUGUGCGUUGGUUAGGCCUGGAAGGGUAGGUUGGGAUGGAGGCAGUCCAACUACAGCGUGACUAGCUCUUAGCGCUGUUGUCUCCGGGAGCCGUAGAACCCAUUGACCAGAUUGAUUAAUUAAUCCACGGGCGCCGUCUGAUCGUUGCCGAAUCCAUGCUGUCUUUUUAAAAGAAAAAAAAACUAAAUUUCACCAGAGUGUUUAAGGCUUAAUAAAGGAGCUUUAAUUAAUGUCAUAGAUUUAUUACCUCAAGGUUUGUGCUUUUAUGAUGGUGAGUACAUACGGCAAGAAAAACUGAGCUACUCCUAUUUUUAUAGCCUACAAAGGCCCUUUUUUGAUCUCAUGGUCUAAAGUUUAGCCACUAAAAACUUUAGAUCACUUUAGCACUUGUGGCUCCAAAAAGGAGGUUUAAUGAUUAGAUGGUCUAAAGUUUUAGUCUUCAACUUUCGCCACUAAACUUUAAACCAAAGGAUCCAAACAUGCCCUAACACAUGAAUAUUUAAUAGUACCAUUUAGUUUUUUUUUAAGAAAAUAUAUCCUUAUAUUACUUAGAAAAGUUAUUACAUUCCAGAGAAAUGGUAUGUUGCACACAAUCAACAUAGUGAGUUACCGUUGGUUUACAUUGAAGUUAUUAUAUUUGAGCUUUAUGAAUUUUUACAGCAUCUUUGGCUACAUAGGUCAGAAGUACUUUUACAUUCACAUCAACACUUCUGAUCUCUUAUGGCUAAAAACAUCAUCCCAACAAUCUACGAUGAGUUCCACUAAACUCACUCUUUAUUGAUCAUCCUUGUUUUGGUGGUUUAGCAAUGGAUACCAAUUUUCACCUGGUGGAUUCGAGAAAAGAGAGAGAUUGCUAAGGUUGAGAUGAACAAAACUUUCAGUAUUCCAUCAUGGACUUAAAUUCAUUUUGCUGGGACUUCUUGGUUUGCUCUAUGGUUUUGCUAUGAGCAUUUUUGUAUGUAUUGGGUUGCUCAAUGGUUUUGCUAUGAGCAUUCUUAUUUGCAUUGAGUUGGUCUAUGGUUUUACUACGAGCAGUCUUGUUUGGCCACGACGUCUUGUGUUUAAUUAAUUUGUCUCGUCCAUCUGAGGCAACAAAGCCCUACGGACCUUAGACUAGUUUCUUCAAUGUAAACUCUUUAGUUUUCAGUUUGGUUCAUAUUUUCAUGCACUAAUGCGCCAUGCUUGUUUUUUUAGCUCUGUAAUACCGUGAUACUCUCCGGGCCGGGUCGAGGGGUAAGGAAAAAAAAAAGAAUGAAAGCGAUCGAGCGGUCACAUUUGCAGGUGCAUGCGCUCUCUCACCAACCCUGAUCCUUCCAAACCCCGGCCCGGUGUGGCGGUGUCACGUCAAACAAGCAGCAACGAGUUACGAGUCCCGCGGUAUAUGGCACCAAAUUUUGGUUCGGAUUGGAUACCAGAUUUCUACACGGUGAUAUCACGGAGGCGUACGUUGAUCUUUUGAUCGGGACGCAUGUAUACGUGCAGCGCUGCCACUGGAUCACCACUACGUACGUCCAGACCGGAGCACGUUCCCUCCGGCUGGGUGCACCGUCGUCGUUAGCUGACGCGCGCGGACGACGACGUACGCUUGCCGUCUCGCCCGCCCGAAGCUAGGACGCCGGCGGACGGGGAUCAAAAUCGAUGGAUCCACCGGUCUCACCAACCGAGAAUGAAAAGGGAGAAACAACGGGCGGGCCGGCCUGGGGUUGUUGUUGAUGUUGAUCCUGCUGCUGCUGCUGCUGCGAUCCCCUUUUCUCGCUGUCGCGAGACGGACAGGGGGUUGUUGGGACCUCGAUCGAUCGAUCGGGCGCCACUAGCUAGCUAAUUGUCCUCGUUCAACCAAUAGGACUAGGAGAAGGAGAGACCCUGCCCUGCCCUGCCCUGCCCUCUGUUUCUUCGUUGCCGUCGUCUGAGUUUAAUGCGCCCCCGCCCGCCCCUGUUUCAAAAUGCAAGAACGGGGUUAGUUGUAUGGAGCGGACGUGGUGUCAUGCACAUGCAUGCAUGCGUGCGUGCGUGCGUGCCAUCCCGGCCGUGCAUAUAUCACACAUGUGUAAACUAUGUGCAACUUGGUGCAUUGCAUGUGUAUUGAUGUAAAACUUCGGAAGCUGUGUGAUGAAUCGUCGUACGUACGGGUUGAUGUAUGUCCGCAUGUGGCAUCAUCACUCACUAAUAAUAUAUAAUUCACUAUCAACUGAUAAUCGAAAACCGCAGUAAAUAAAGCACCUGGUAUUACCAUUUCUACAGCUUACAGUGUACGUAGUAGAUACUUAUAACACAACUGAGAAGUUGGAACUACGUACUAGCUGGGUUUAUUUAAAAGUUUUGGGUGAGGUCGGUUCGGAACGCGCGAGACGCCUGCACCUGCAGUUGGCGUUGGCCUACAAAUUUGUAGCCGCGUGCUUUUUUGUUUCCACCGCGUGAGCGUGACGAUCCCUGGUGUAGAGCGUUGCACCAAACCUCUACUAAAGUAAGUAGUACUAAAACUUUUAAUUAGAUAAAAUAAAUUACCAGCAGUAGUCCCAUCUUAUUACCAACCUGCUGGGUUCUUAAUCUCCUCUUUUAACCAACAUCGAUCUGGUAGUUUGCAGUUGUUUCCAUCUCAAACAGUGAAAUGAAGAUGGUACGACUAUGAGCCAGGAAGCGCUACGCUGAAGUGUUAGUUGAUCUCCCUUUCCAAAUGGGCCCAAAAGCCUUUGGGGUCUUGUUCUCGCGCCCUGAUCGGAGGCGCCCAAUCUUACAUGGUUGGUGGGCUUCCGCCGCACAGCGCUAUAAAGGAAGGUGGGGGGCCGGAGCUCGAGGUACGAGGUUCACCGCACAGCCAUUCACCCCACUGACAUUCUAAACCUAAUCCGAUCCGAGAGGGGCGCUGCCAGCGACGGGAAGCACCACCGCUACUGGCAACACCACCUUGACGUCCGCGUUGUCACCGAGGAACAUCUCCAACACGGAUCCAAUGGCUUCACCAACGAACGACGCCACUGCGAACGCCAGUGGAUCUACGGUGGCUCUGGCUCCAGCGACGGUCAAAUCUAUUUACCAUUUUCGUUUUCAUAUUUGCAGUAGAUCUUGUUUAGGAAACCUAUAUGUACUCUUUUAUUCUUGAUUAAAUGGAAGAAAUGUUCCCGAUCUACGAAUCAUGAUGCACUACGAAUUUAACAUGAAGGAGUAACCAGGCGUCUAUUAAGCAUGUUCGGUCAACAAUACAUGGAUCAACAUGCUCAAGAACGCACAAAAGGAAAGAUUUGGGAGGAGGGACAACGAGAGGGACGCGAGUCACUUUUUUCCAUUUUAUUUUACUAGAGUUAUGGUUAUUUUCCAGACCAGAUUAUUAGAGUUUGUACGGAGCAAAAUCUAGAUAUUACGAAGGCCUUUGUUAGAGUAUCUCCAAUUGUUUGGAAAAAUGACUUGCUAUCCUUGUUUUUUUUGGAAAAAGAAGAAAAUUCCUUCUCCAACGAUUUGGAAUAGGACUUGCUAAGGGCUCGCGCGCGGAUCUAUCCGCGCUCGCCGUGGCUUGGUAUCCCGGGUCGCGAGUUGCUGAUUGGUUCUGCUGCUCCUGCUGCAUGGUUCUGCUGCUGUUGCUGAUUGGUUCUGCUACUGCAAGGUUCUGUUGUUGCUCUCGGCGACAAAUUUGCUGCUGCUGCAUGAUUAUUCGCUGCAGAAUCAUGGCCGGCAGCUGCUGUCCUACCCAGAUGCUGGGACAGAUUUUGCAUAGAUGCGGUGAACGAAUAAAUAAAGCAUAUAAAUUUAAAAUGUAUGGAUAAAAUAUAAAUUUAAAUGUAUGGAUGAAAUAUAAAUUUAAAUGUAUCGACUUCAAUAUAUAUUUGUUGGACCGGUAUAUGUGGGCCUAUUUUUUUAUGUUUACCAAACCCAAUUUACCAAACAAUUGGAGAUACAUGAAAAAUUCACUUGCCAAAAGGUUUAGCAAGUUGCCAAAUGACAAUUUUUUUCAAGUCAAUUUUUCCAAACAAUUGGAGAUGCUCUUAGUUCUCAAAGAAUUUUGCAGAAUUUUUCAUAUUCUUCAUCACAUCGAAUCUUGCGGCACAUGCAUGGAACAUUAAAUAAGAAAUAACUAAUUGCACAGUUUACCUGUAAUUUACGAGACGAAUCUGUAAUACCCGAUUUUAAGGACAAAACCAGAUAUACACUAUAUAUGAGUUUUAGAAGUCAAUUCUCAUAUAUAGCUACAAAUAAGGGGUAAUAUCAAAAGACAAUGCAUAAAUUAUAUAACGUACUUAGUAUAAAAGAGAUAACCUUAAGGAGCAAACAACGGAAGAUAACUCCAAACUUCGGGUAUUAACUUCACUCUACAGGAUCCAACUGACUGGUUGAUCACAAGCCUAAGCUUCUCCUGAGGUUUGGGGGAAAUAGCAAGAGUGAGUCCAUGUCGAACUCCACAAGUAUAGCAGCUAGAUUGUAUAGCUCUCACAAUCUCAUGAUCAAUGUGACAUAAAUAAUGUAUAGCAUUAAAUAAUAAAUAAUGAGCAUAUUUAACACAUAGGAAUCAUUAUCGUCGCAGCAAGAAUCCCCAAGGCCGCUCCUGACCGUGAGCUCGGCUAGUAUACUAGUUUUUCACCCUCUGCAGAGGUUGCACAUCUUUACCCAUGAGUCAUGAUUUACCCUUUCGCCCGAGGUAGCUAGUCUCUUAACCCCCUUCCUAGGGAGGUCGGCAGGGAUCACUAUGAAGUCUUUCAAAGGUUCGUCUAACAAGUUAGGGCCGCUUGGUUUCAUUAGUCAGUCCGUGUGAUUCACCCGCAGGAAUCCACGGUCUGCUAUUCCCCAACUGCGCCACAACGGGUAACCGCUAACGAGCUAGAAAAGUUACUCAUACUUAACUAAAGCCAGAGCCAUUAUAGCCCUCAUGGUUGCACUGUUGUCCCGGUUAUCACUUACAGAUAAAUCAUCAAGUGGCUAAAGAGUCAUUUUUAUCAUUUAUUACUUAACAUUAAUCUAGUCACAGGAUCAUGGUCACAGAAAUAAAAUCCAAAUGCUAUACUUGCCUUAAUCCAAAUGCUCUUGCUUAUCCUUUUGUUUCUGCUGGUCUCACUUGUUGCCAAAGCUUUGAUCUUGAUCACCGAAACUGCUCUCCGUCUAAACUCGAUCAUCAUCACACAAACAAACGGAGACAACAUACACGAAGCAAACAAGGCUAUAAUUAGAACAGUACACCAAUCAUAUAAAAACAGUAUGAAAAGUUUAUAAAAAGAUUCUACGCAGCGCUACGAUUUCAUAGACGUAAAGAUCACGAAAAACGGAGUUAAAACGGAGAAGAUAUGAAUUUUUCCAGGAUUUUCUAUAGAUAAAUAAUUAAUUAAAUGCUACUGCAAAAAUAACAGUUUCAAAACAGUGGAAUAAUACUUCUAUCAUGUAGAGCUCAUAAAUAUGAAUCCAACGAAAUUUGAAUGGAUGAAAACGGAGUUAAAACGAAGAUUUUAUGAGCUAAAUAAAAUCAGUGGCAAACUUGUGAAUAUCAGAAAGCGUAUUUCAAUUCAAUCCGACGCUUUUACGUUUUCUGAAAGAGAAGGCGAAUUUUUGGAAAUCCGCUUUGGACUGCGGGUUUUAUAUUUAAAAAUGUCAGGGGCUCUUUAGCAAAUCUCCAGGCCGAAAGGGUAUCGGGACUUGGCGACCAUCGGAUUACGAACGAAGGGCCGAGAUCGAUCUGGGGGAAAGGAUCAGCCACCGGCGGCCGGAACAGUGGGCACCGACGGCGACGCCAUGGCCGGACCCGGCCGGAACAUCGCCGGAGCUGGCGAAUUAAGCGCUACGGACCACCAAAAACGAAACCGAGGGCAUGGGGAGCAAGACAAGAUCGAGGCGAACUCACCUAGGCGACUUUCGCGACCGGAGAGAGCUUGGAGGAGCCGGACGUCGCGCAAUGGCGGGUGGAUAGGCUCCUGCAAAGCGCCGCGUUGAGGCUGGAGCGAACUGGGGCGAAAACAGGGGAAGAGAAAGGUUGUUGCACCUUCGUAUUCUCGUCACGAAGCUCGGCAUACGGUUUUUGACGACCUUUGAGCACCUGAGAGCGAGGACCCAGGCGGCGGCUCUACCUCUGCUUGCGGCGAGAUCCAACAGCGGCUCUAGGGCGGCUUUCGGGGGUGGAAAGAUGGAAAUAUGGGUCAAGGAAAGUGCCAGGGGUCUUAUAGGGGAAGUUGAUUACGUCCAAAACUCGAAAUCCCGGAGAAAUCGGGAUUCACUGCCCGGUCAGGAGUCCUGCAGCGCUCCGACGGGGAGGAAGAAGCAAGAACACGCUGACGUGUGGGCCCCAGAGAUCAGUGAGCCAAGGAAGAGAAGAGAGGAGGGGCGCGCUGCGGGCCUGGAAAGGAGUGGGCCGGGGUGGGGAAACUGGGCCGCGCGGGAAAGGGGAGUGCUGGGCCUUCGGGCCAGAAUGAGUGGGGGAAGAGGAGAAAGGUUUUGUUGUUGUUUUUUUUUUCUAUUUUCCUUUCUUUUAUUCCAAAGCCAUUUCAAGUCCCUUUCAAAAAUCAGUUUUGAAAUACUUUUGAACUUUACUCAAAGUUACACAGUACAAAAAUAUAAAUGCUCCAGCAUGAGUGCACAUACAUGUUACUAAACCCUAUGAUAAGUUUUAAUUUACUGAAAAAUAUUAUUCCCCUAUGUUUUAUGAGCACAAAAAUUCAAAAUUAAAUUAUUUUUCAUCUAUUUCUAAAAGAACAAAAUUUAGGGUGUUACAGAAUCUUUUGAGCCUAGUUAGGUCUUGUUUAGUUCCAAAAAUUUUUACUGUAGCACUUUCGUUUGUAUUGACUAACUAGGCUCAAAAGAUUUGUUUUGCAAAUUAGAGGCAAAUUGUGCAAUUAGUUAUUAUUUUUAUCUAUAUUUAAUGCUCCAUGCAUGCGCCGCAAGAUUCUAUGGGACGGAAAAUUUAAAAUUUUUUGUUAUUUUUUUUGGAACUAAACAAGGCCUUAGUCCAUGAUUGGAUAAUAUUUGUCAAAUACAAACGAUAUUGCUACAGUGCUCUUUUGCAAAAACUUUUGGAACUAAAUAAGGCCUAGUUAGAGACCGGCCACAAAUAAAGCAUGUAUAUUAAUCAUGAAAGACGAGCUUAAAAGAAAUAUAAAUGUCACUAAAAAUAAUAGCUAGUAGAUCUAUUCUGGUUUCUACAUAAUAAGACACCACUAGCAUUCCAUAAACAACAUAAAGUAAGCAUCUAGUUACAUCCAAAUUAUCCACCAU
rnacentral:lncRNA from 1 species